rnacentral:lncRNA from 1 species
GGCCGGAUCAGCUCCUCCUUCUGCGUCUCCCGUGCAAGCUUCUCCCUCCUCUCCUAGCCGGAGAUGUCAUCCGUCAUGUGGCAGGGGCUCUAUAAAGGCUGGUGAAAUAGGAAUUGUAAACAAGCAAGACAUGGCACUGGAGAGGAACAGAGAAAUGGCUGUGGGAGUUUGAAGAGAAACGUCACAAAGCCGUGGAGUGGAGCCAAAUCAAGGAAUGAACAGAAUAGUGCCUGACACUCGUAGCUGAUUAGCAAAACUGAAAAAGGAGGACAAGAGCAAUAGAUAUUAAAAGAGGAGAAAGAGAAAGACGAAAGAGCUGCAGGCGAAGGAAGACGAUGAUAGUGGAGAAAGAAAGGAGAGAGAAAGUGGAGGAGAGACAAGAAGAACGAGAAGAGGAAGGAAGGUAAGGAAGAAUGGUGAACAUUUGACAGGGAGAAGAAAACAGGGAACGGGACUUCCCUGUUAGCCAGUAUCUCUCAUUUUCCAGAUUAGAACAGGUUGUGACUCCCAGGAAGCUUCAACCUAUGCACCAGGACGCUUCUGCCUCCCUUGGAAAGCAUUAAGCUACAUGGAAAUCUCAACAAAUUGUCCUGCUAGAGUGUCUGCCUUGAUACUAACGGACAUUAACACAGCCAGGAAUUGGCUCGCAUGGCCUUGGCAAAGUCAGUAUGGAAAGAAGAGGAGAAAAGGUAGGUAUUUUUGGAAUCAUGCAGAGGAGUAGUCAGAAAUUGCCAUUGGCUGAU